rnacentral:rRNA from 1 species
AUUGAACGCUGGCGGAAUGCUUUACACAUGCAAGUCGAACGGCAGCACGGACUUCGGUCUGGUGGCGAGUGGCGAACGGGUGAGUAAUGUAUCGGAACGUGCCCAGUCGUGGGGGAUAACGUAGUGAAAAUUACGCUAAUACCGCAUACGAUCUAUGGAUGAAAGCGGGGGAUCGCAAGACCUCGCGCGAUUGGAGCGGCAGAUAUCAGAUUAGGUAGUUGGUGGGGUAACGGCCCACCAAGCCAACGAUCUGUAGCUGGUCUGAGAGGACGACCAGGCACACUGGAACUGAGACACGGUCCAGACUCCUACGGGAGGCAGCAGUGGGGAAUUUUGGACAAUGGGCGAAAGCCUGAUCCAGCCAUUCCGCGUGCAGGAUGAAGGCCCUCGGGUUGUAAACUGCUUUUGUACAGAACGAAAAGGUUUCUACUAAUACUAGGAGCUCAUGACGGUACUGUAAGAAUAAGCACCGGCUAACUACGUGCCAGCAGCCGCCGCGG